rnacentral:miRNA from 1 species
UCAGAUAAUUUUUAAACCAAAGU